rnacentral:rRNA from 1 species
CCCCAGCCCGGGGCCGCAGCACCCCCCCCGGGGGAGCGCCCGCCGUAGGUACGAAACUCUCAUGUAUUAUAGUGGCAUCUCUGAGUAACAAAACAAAUAAGUUAAAACUUUCAACAACGGAUCUCUUGGUUCUGGCAUCGAUGAAGAACGCAGCGAAAUGCGAUAAGUAAUGUGAAUUGCAGAAUUCAGUGAAUCAUCGAAUCUUUGAACGCACAUUGCGCCCGCUAGUACUCUAGCGGGCAUGCCUGUUCGAGCGUCAUUUCAACCCUCAAGCCCUGCUUGGUGUUGGGGCCCCACGGCUGCCGUGGGCCCUGAAAGGAAGUGGCGGGCUCGCUACAACUCCGAGCGUAGUAGAAUACUAUAUCGCUAGGGAGGUUUAGCGCGCUCCUGCCGUUAAAGACCCAUCUUUAACCAAGGUUGACCUCGGAUCAGGUAGGAAUACCCGCUGAACUUAAGCAUAUCAAUAAGCGGAGGA